UUCCCUUUUCUUAUGGAUCCAGAAGUUCUGAAAAGUACACUCAAUCCGUGAAGCCAUUAGGAGCUGAAAUACUGUUAGGCUUUUGCUCAGUCAUCCUUACACUGCGAUUUUUGUUCUCAUGCUUUUUGUUACCUCAGGGUCACAAGAUGACUUCAGGCAGGAUAACAGGGACCUGAAAGUUAUGGCCACAGAGUGAGUAGGAAUUUUGAGCCCAGCCGGACCAGGCCAGGCCAGACCACAGUGAUGGGGGAGGGAGCUCCACUGCCCGAGGAGAGCAGUGAGGAGCACAGUUCACGCAACAGGAUGAAGCUGGCCGAGGAGGAUAACCCCCUCUGGUGCCCACGUGCAGGCUGUCUAUAGCAACCUGGUCUGAUGACAUCGAGAGGACAUGGAAUGAAAGUAACAAAUGACAACUUUUAAAAAAUCUAGAGAAAACUUUCUUUAUGAAAAAUAAGAAGGCACCCCCGAGGGCUCUUUCUCUAAUGAACCACAUUCGCCUUAAAGGAAAUACCUGGGAGUGUCCCAGACCCUUCAGAGGGCUGAGGUUGGGGAUGUAGCCUGAGAGAUCCAUGUUCCCAUUGAUCUUUCCUAGUGAAACGUCCUGUGUGUCUUCUCAGGCAUGGUGUGGCAGAUGCCUGUGGAGCUGCCUUCAUCCAUCAGUCGCAUGCAGUGCCCUCUUUCCAACACUGUGUGCUCUUCCUCAAAGGGGAAAAACCCACGCUUUAUCAGUAGCCCUCCCUGUUUCAUGAAAACAUCAGGCACCCAAGUUCUAUCUGUCUUGUUGCUUCAUCAUCUCUAAGGAGUUACCAUCAUCUAAAUAAUCUAAAACUGGUUGCCACUACAUCCAGUUCCAGCCAGUGGAAGGAGGGAGGGAGAAAGCAGGUGCACCUCAUUUUUAAGGAUAUGAUCUAGAAAGCUCUCAUCCAUUGGCCACCACUUAAAGCUUUAUUCUGAGCAUCUUGUAUGCUUGACCUUUGCUUUCCUAGAAUUUAUGUUCUCCUGGGGAACACAAGGGAGAAACAGUAUGUAAUGCGUCAGGGAGUGAUAAAUGCUAAUAAGAAGGUAAAAGUGCAGUUAAGGGAUAGAGAUAGAGAUGGCACUUGAGAUAAAGUCAGGAACAGCCUUGUUGAGAAGGGUACGUGUAUUCAGGGAUCUGAAGGGAAGUGGGCUCCAGGGAGGAGGAACAGCAUGUAUAAAUGCCCUGUGGUGGGAAUGGGCUGUGCAUAUUUAGGGAGCAGGGGUGUGGCCAGUGCACCUGGAGGAAGUGAAAUUGCAGCAAUGUCAGUGGGAUCAUAGACACCACUGUUGGCUAGGGUAAAGUAAUGGUCUUGAAUGUGAGUGAGAUGAAAACCUCUGCAAAUUUAUGACAUGAUGGAAUAUUUUUUUGGAAAAAAAAUUUAAAAAAAUUUAAGUUAUAAUAUCUGCAGUCUGUGUAAACGUAAGAGCUAAAACUAUAAAACUCUUAGAACAAAACAUAGGACAGAAGCUUUAUGACACAGGAUUUGGCAGUGAUUUUGUAGAUGUGACACCAAAGAAACAGGCAAUGACAGAAGCAAUAGGCAAAUUUGACAUCAAAAUUUUAAAUGUUUAUGCAUCAAAGAAUACAAUCAACAGAAUAAAAAGGCAACCUAUACAAUGGGAGAAAAUAUUUAAAAAUCAUAUAUCUGAACAUUUGCUUAUCACAUAUCUAAUAAUGCCCAGAGUAUAUAAAGAACUCCUAAAAUUCAGCAGUAACUAAACAACCCAAUUCAAAAAUGGGUGAAAGUUGCAAAACCAUAUGAAUGUACUUAAUGGAUACUAAAAAAAUCACUAACAAUGGCUAAUUUUGUUAUGUAUAUUUUACCACAAUUUUUAAAAAAUGAAUUAUAAAAUGAAUAGGCAAAGAACCUGAAAAGAUAUUUCACCAAAGAAGUUAUCCAAAUGGCCAGUAAACACAAGAUGCUCAACAUUGCUAAUCAUUAAGGAAUACAAAUCAAAACCACAAUGACAGAACACCUCACACCGAUUAGGUAUGAUCAAAAACUGGAAAUUGGAACCCUUAUGCACUGCUGAUGGGAAUGUAAAGUGGUGUGGCUGCUGUGGAAAGCAGCCUGUAAGUUCCUCAAAAAAUUAAACAGGAGUUCCUGUUGUGGCACAGCAGAAACGAAUCUGACUAGGAACCAUGAGAUUGCAGGUUCAAUCCCUGUCCUUACUCAUGGAUUAAGGAUCUGGCAUGGCCAUGAGCUGUGGUGUGUAGGUCGCAGACGUGGCUCAGAUCUCAUGUUGCUGUGGCUGUAGCGUAAGCCAGUGGCUACAGCUCUGAUUAGACCCCUAGCCUGGGAACCUCCAUAUGCCAUGAGCGUGGCCCUAAAAAGGAAAAUAAAAGGGGGGGGAUUAUUUCACUCAAUCGAAGGAAAAUUGCAGCCAUUACAAUAAUGAUGAUUAUGUAUCAAUGUAUAAUAUGCUUUGAAGUUAUGUUAAAUCAAGAAAGAUUACAAAACAGCACUCAGACUGGGAGUCCAGCUAUGUCAGGAAGUGUGUACACAAAAAGAGAAAAAAAUAUUCUGAUCACCUACUGUGUGCUUGGCCUCCUGCUGAGUCUUAAGGAUACACAAAUUAGUAAAAUGUGGUCAUGUUAUGGCUCUUUGUCAUUAUGCUUGCACACAGUGAUGUGCAGGUAAGUGUUUAGUAGCCAUGUAUUGGGGUUAGGGAGAGGGAAGUGUUUUGUAAUUUUGCCAGUUUCUAUGGUGUAAGCAUUUCCAGUGUGGCUGACUUCAAGCUGCCAAUGGAACUUUACUGAAAAGAAAAGAUGCACACAGUAGCUCUUCAGCGUCAGUACAAGCUGGCUCCUGCGUGUCCCAGGAGCCUUCCUCUGCCUAAUGUCUACCAGUUGGGAGGUGGUUGUUAAAUAAACAGUAAUUUAUUCAUAGAAUGGGAUUCUCAUCAUUCAUGAGAAAAAUCAAACUGUUUCUUUUUUUUAUGGCCGUACCCAAGGCAAUGAAAGUUCCCAGGCCCAGGAUCAGAUCCUUUUAAAUCUAGUGCUCUGCGGUCAGAUUCUAUUUUUUUUUUAACUUUUUUUUUUUUUUUUUUUGCUUUUUAGGGCCUCACCCAAGGCAUAUGGAAGUUCCCAAGCUAGGGGUCAAAUCAGAGCUGCAGCUGCCAGCCUGCACCACAGCCACAGUAACACUGUGGGAUCUGAGCUGUGUCUGUGACCUUCACCACAGUUCACAGCACCACUGAAUCCUUAACCCACUGAGCAAGGCCAGGGAUUGAACCUACAUCCUCAUGGAUACCAGUUGAGUUCCUUACUGGUGAGCCAUGACAGGAACUCCUGCAGGUCAGAUUUUUAACCCACUGUGCCACAGUAGGAACUCCCAGAAGAUCACACUUUGAAGUAAUCAGUCAUAUUUGAAAAAGUUCAAGGUUUAUCUUCAAGUUUAAACACAACUAGGUGUGAGUGAGAACAAUGAAAAUCGAGGUAUAAGGAUUAUGAGGAUAUCUCCUCCAUAAAAUCAAACAGGAUAUUGGCAGAAAUUGUCCAAGUCCACGUUCUGACAAGUAUGGAAAUUAGCCAGUCUUGACACCACCUAAAGAACAUUUAUUCAGGAGUUCCUGUCGUGGUGCAGUGGAAACAAAUCCGACUAAGAACAAUGAGGCUGCAGGUUCGAUCCCUGGCCUCGAUCAGCAGGUUAAGGAUCUGGCAUUGCUGUGAGCUGUGGUGUAGGUCACAGACUCUGCUCGGAUCCUGCAUUGCUGUGGCUUGGUGUAGGCCUGCAGCUGUAGCUCCAAUUGGACCCCCAGCCUGGGAAUCUCCAUAUGCCGCGGGUUCAGCCCUAAAAAGCCAAAAAGAAAAAGAACAUUUAUUCAAGAAUAGGUGAACAGAGAGUUCCCAUUGUGGCACAGUGGAAACGAAUCUGAAUAGUAUCCAUGAGGAUGUAGCUUUGAUUCCUGGCCUCAAUCAGUGGGUCAUGGAUCUGGUGUUGCUGUGAGCUGUGGUGAAGGUCGCAGCCAAGGCUCAGAUCCGGCAUUGCUAUGGAUGUAGUGUAGGCCUGGAAACUUACAUUUGCCACUGGUGUGGCCCUAAAACUUGCCCUAGGCUCAUCCUCUAUUGUCCAGGUUCACAGUACCUUCAAAAAUAACAGCCUGCUGGAGUUCCCAUUGUGGCUCAGUGGAAAGGAAUCUGACUAGUGUUCAUGAAGACCUAGGUUUGAUUUCUGGCCUCGAUCAGUGGGUUAAGGAUCUGGCAUUGCCAUGGCUGUGGUGUAGGCCAGUGGCUACAGACCUAUUUGACCCCUAGCCUGGGAACCUCCAUAUGCCUCAGGUGCAGCCCUAAAAAGACCAAAAAAAAACACCAAAUAGCCUGCAAUUCUGGUGCAGCAUAACUGCUACCUGAGGAGGGCAUUCUCACAUGGCUGCCAUUGCUUGAACUGUCUGGUAGUUCCCUGAAAGUUGCAAGUUACCUGGGUUUUGUAUUUGGCCUGACUUGGAGCUCACCCAGUGUGAAAAGUCUUCUCUCUAGGGGACAUUAAAACAAACAGACAAACAGUUACAAGCAAGUGUUUAACUAUGUGAUUGUUAGAGGCAGCAGAUAAGACUUGGGUCAAUCAAUAGACCUAAAACAUAAAUAAAACAGGAGUUCCCGUCGUGGCGCAGUGGUUAACGAAUCCGACUAGGAACCAUGAGGUUGCGGGUUCAGUCCCUGCCCUUGCUCAGUGGGUUGACAUCUGGCGUUGCCAUGAGCUGUGGUGUAGGUUGCAGACGCGGCUCGGAUUCUGAGUUGCUGUGGCUCUGGCCUAGGCCGGCGGCUACAGCUCCAAUUAGACCCCUAGCCUAGGAACCUCCAUAUGCCGCGGGGAGCGGCCCAAGAAAUAGCUAAAAGACAAAAAA
rnacentral:lncRNA from 1 species